UUUUAGAAACGUUAUAAUUUU
rnacentral:piRNA from 1 species